GAGAUGAUCUCAAGGUCUUGUUGAUGAGGUCCAGGUUGGCCCUGAGGGUCAUGUUGACGAGGUCCUUGCUGGCCCUGAGGGAAAUGCUGACAAGGUCCCCGAUGUCCCUGAGGGUCCUGAUGGCGAGGUCCUCGUUGUCCCUGAGGGGCCUGUUGGCGAGGUCCUCGUUGGCCCUGAGGGGCUGUUUGGCGAGGUCCUCGUUGGCCCUGAGGGGCCUGUUGGCGAGGUCCUCGUUGGGCCUCAGGGUCCUGCCGAUGAGGUUCUUGUUCGCUCUGAAGACCGCCAACAAGCUUUUGUUUUUUCUCCUUUGCAUCCAGCCAUUCCAGCCACUGCUCUGCAUUUUGAUGUUGCAUCCUGUAGCAGACUAGAGAUGUACAAAGCAGACUGUGGAUA